CGAGAGCGCAAAGGCCUCGCAAUCAGGAUUUCCGAGCGUCAGAUCACUGGCUGACCCGAUUCAAAGAAAGAAAAAGAAUAAGCCAUCGAAGAAAGAAUAAGGACACGCGAACCCUCCCCGACAACGCUAUGGAAAUAGCGGCCGUCUAUCGUAGGGAAACGUCUCAAAUCAUCCAAAAUGGAAAUUUCCAUGUGAUCAUCAACAUGGAUGAAACAUUUGUCAACUUUGACAUGGUGCCGAAAACCACAAUGGCUACAACAGGAUCACAUUCGAUCGACAUCAGAUCCUCAAGAGGGAACGGGAAGAUUGGAUGCACGGUAACCUUGGCCGUCUCCAGCGAUGGACGAAAACUACCAGCUGAGGUCAACUUUAGGGGCUUGGAUGCUGAAGGCGAAGUUAUUGCAGAACUGCGAGCCCAUGCUCCCCAGAACGUGCGAGUUACAGGUACUCCGAAUGGCUGGGCAAGACAUCAGUCAUUGAUCGAAUGGUUGCAAGCCAUUGUUGUGCCAUUUAUUGCCGGAGCAACCUUUCUCCUCAUCUUGGAUCGCUACCCUGCCCAUAGACAUCAUCUGUUUACGGAGGAAAUUCCGCGGCAAAAUGGACAGGAUUCGUUCAUUCCUGGACGAUGCACUUCAAUUUUGCAACCUUUGGACUUAACUGUAAAUCGCAGUUUUAAAUGUCAUCUCAGAUUGGUGUGGAAAGCCUGGAAGAUUGGACAUACCGAA